AGUUGGUCCGAAGGUUGUAGGUUGUUGUUAAGCUGCUUUAACAUUGUCUCCCCCCCACAACCAUGCUUGAAUAGCUUUAA
rnacentral:Y_RNA from 1 species